GGAGGGGUGGCCGAGUGGUUUAAGGCAGCGGUCUUGAAAACCGCCGUGGGCUCACACCCACCGUGGGUUCGAAUCCCACCCCCUCCGCCA
rnacentral:tRNA from 1 species